UACAGAUGAAAAACACUAGGCACUACAGAGAACACCAUGGCAACAAGAAGCCUCCACCCAGCUUCAUUGUACUGAACAGAUAAGCUCCCUGGCAAAGCACCAAAGUCAGAGAAUGAAACAGGUGACUUGGAGGGCAAGAAUUGGACCACAGGUCCUGUAAGGAUGGACAGAAAUUUAGGCCCAGAUCCUCAAAGGGAGAAGAAUCCAAGGGGACUCUGGUAGAAAUGAAAGACCUACUAUUUGACAGCUGAAAUAUGAUAGGAUUCCAGGAUCAACUCUCCUUUCAAUUAUGCAUAUUUCAUCAGUGUGAUAGAAACUGCUCCAGACACUGCUUAAAGGAGUG